CGGGAUUGAAGCGGUCACGGGGCCGGGGCUGCUCCCUCGGGCCGGUUCGGGGGCGGACGGGGCAGAGACUUCACCGGGUCCGAGCGCGGCGCUGCCCUCACUGCAUCGGGUGCAAUUAAGAGGCCAGCCUGGCGUCACGAAGCCAUCAGUGUGGAGAGACCUGAAUCCUGACCGGCUCCCAUGUGUGUUAUCACCCCUGGCCAUCCGUCUGUCCAUGGUCACAUCGCGGUGAUGCUGCAGUAACGGACCUCGACUACAUUAGAUGAGGUCUGUUUAACUUCAAUGCUGCCUGAGCCCUUCAGGUGGUGGCACAGGGCACAAGCAGGGGGGAGUGGUGGUGUUGAAUGGUGACCACAGCACAACCAGGGCUGUGUUGGUGCCAUGUUCAUCGCCUCAGCAACCCUGUGUUUUACAGGCAACCCACCAAUGCGGCACUGCUGGCUGGGCCGUGAUGCCCAGGACAGCACCAGCAGCACAUCCCUCCUGUCCCCCUUCUCCCACUGCAGUGGGACACGGCUCGGAGAAGCCGUCUUUCCCUUUAAGCUUCCUCCCAGUUUAAUUGGAUAGCUUCGAGCCCCAGCUCAUGAUUUCUGCAGCAAUUUGGUCUGAGAUUUCUUCCUUUGCCUCCAUUAUCCACUCUGAUUAACUGAGGUGCCCCUGUCAGCGCUGCUCGGUGGCGCGGGGAGCGCCGGCGAGAACCUGUUAAAAUGCAUGAGCCUCUCCUGGCCAGCGAUGCCCAACUGCAGGACGGGGGUGCAGCUGUGGGGUGGGGGGGGCUGUCCGGGGCUGGUGGCGGUGCUGGGGUCCCGCGGGGUGGAGGGCUGCAGGCAGGGCCCCACCAUCCUCCGUACUGCGGCUUUUCCACUUCGCAGGCGCUCAUUUCACAUUCCAGCUCCAACUUGUUCCCUGUUUUUCCAUUUUAAUAACAGCAAAAGCAUCCGGAAACACUGCAGCACCCGCGGAAGAGCGAGAGCUGACAUAAUUAAAAAGUGGCUUCAAUCAGG